CAGCAGCCGCGGUAAUACGUAGGUGACAAGCGUUGUCCGGAAUUAUUGGGCGUAAAGCGCGCGCAGGCGGUCCUUUAAGUCUGAUGUGAAAGCCCCCGGCUCAACCGGGGAGGGUCAUUGGAAACUGGGGGACUUGAGUGCAGGAGAGGGAAGUGGAAUUCCACGUGUAGCGGUGAAAUGCGUAGAGAUGUGGAGGAACACCAGUGGCGAAGGCGGCUUCCUGGCCUGUAACUGACGCUGAGGCGCGAAAGCGUGGGGAGCAAACAGGAUUAGAUACCCUGGUAGUCCACGCCGUAAACGAUGAGUGCUAAGUGUUAGGGGGUUUCCGCCCCUUAGUGCUGCAGCUAACGCAUUAAGCACUCCGCCUGGGGAGUACGGCCGCAAGGCUGAAACUUAAAGGAAUUGGCGGG
rnacentral:rRNA from 1 species